UACGUAGGGUGCAAGCGUUGUCCGGAAUUAUUGGGCGUAAAGAGCUCGUAGGCGGUCUGUUGCGUCGGCUGUGAAAACCCGGGGCUCAACCCCCGGGCCUGCAGCCGAUACGGGCAGACUAGAGUUCGGCAGGGGAGACUGGAAUUCCUGGUGUAGCGGUGAAAUGCGCAGAUAUCAGGAGGAACACCCGGUGGCGAAGGCGGGUCUCUGGGCCGAUACUGACGCUGAGGAGCGAAGCGUGGGGGAGCGAACAGG
rnacentral:rRNA from 1 species